GGGGAUCGGGCGUCACUCCCAACCCCUGU
rnacentral:rRNA from 1 species